rnacentral:rRNA from 1 species
UACGUAGGGUGCAAGCGUUGUCCGGAAUUAUUGGGCGUAAAGAGCUCGUAGGCGGUUUGUCGCGUCUGCUGUGAAAACCCGAGGCUCAACCUCGGGCCUGCAGUGGGUACGGGCAGACUAGAGUGCGGCAGGGGAGAUUGGAAUUCCUGGUGUAGCGGUGGAAUGCGCAGAUAUCAGGAGGAACACCAAUGGCGAAGGCAGAUCUCUGGGCCGUAACUGACGCUGAGGAGCGAAAGCAUGGGGAGCGAACAGG